rnacentral:rRNA from 1 species
UACAAAGAGAAGCGAAGCCGCGAGGUGGAGCAGAUCUCAAAAAAGCGGUCUCAGUCCGGAUUGUGGGCUGCAACCCGCCCACAUGAAGUCGGAGUUGCUAGUAAUCGCGGAUCAGCAUGCCGCGGUGAAUACGUUCCCGGGCCUUGUACACACCGCCCGUCACACCAUGAGAGUCGGGAACACCCGAAGUCCGUAGUCUAACCGCAAGGAGGGCGCGGCCGAAGGUGGGUUCGAUAAUUGGGGUGAAGUCGUAACAAGGUACC